rfam:Paramecium tetraurelia chromosome undetermined scaffold_17, whole genome shotgun sequence.
UCACUUACCUGGCGAGCACUGCUGAUGAUCAUGUAGAUCAGUAGUGUGGGGUUAAGCUGGCCAUCGCACAACCGGCGUCAGUGAGGCCCCAAAACUUUCCGUUUGGAAAGGCUUUAUCGCUCAAUUUCUGCUAGUGAGGGGAAACCCUCG